UCGCCUGUUUAUCAAAAACAUGGUUUCUUGUUUAUUUAAGAGAUUUAACCUGCCCACUGAAAAUUUUAAAGGGCCGCAGUAUUUUGACUGUGCAAAGGUAGCAUAAUCAUUAGUCCUUUAAUUGAGGGCUUGUAUGAAUGGUUGGACAAGGUUAAUGUUGUGUUAAGUUAAUAUUAUAGAAUUUAUAUUUUGAGUAAAAAUUCUUAAGUGUUAUUAAGGGACGAGAAGACCCUAUAGAGUUUAAUAUUUAAUUAAUUAUAGUUUAGUUAUUAAUUAAUUUAUUAUUAUUGUUAUUAAUUAUUUAAUUGGGGUGAUUAAAAAAUAUAUAAAACUUUUUUUUAUUUUUAAUAUUUAUAUAUAAAAUAUUGAUCCAUGAAUUUUGAUUAUAAGAUUAAAUUACCUUAGGGAUAACAGCAUAAUUUUUUUUGAGAGUUCUUAUUAAAAAAAGAGAUUAUGACCUCGAUGUUGGAUUAAGAUAAAUAAUAAAUGCAGAUGUUUAUAAAUUAGGUCUGUUCGACCUUUAAAAUCUUACAUGAUCUGAGUUCAAACCGGAGA
rnacentral:rRNA from 1 species